GUGCACCACCUGAACGAAUCACUAGCCAUUGCCAUCCAGGGAUGCCCGUGGUUUCCCAAGAGGAGGAAGCUUAUCUGAGGAGGCGCACUCGGACCACGCAGGGCUGCGGGUCUGACCCGGACCUGCACAUUGUGAUCCAGUGUGCCCGCUCCACACUCAACAGGCCCGACUCCAACUCCAGCCCCAGGAAUCCAAUAAGGUCUUCACCUUCCUCGCGUUCCGGAAGACCCACGAGCUAGUAUUUGAUCUGAAGGUGAAGUUUCAAAAUCAACAGAUGAACCAUUGAC